rnacentral:rRNA from 1 species
GAGGAAUAUUGGUCAAUGGGCGGAAGCCUGAACCAGCCAAGUCGCGUGAAGGAAGAAGGAUCUAUGGUUUGUAAACUUCUUUUGAAGGGGGAUAAAGUGCGUCACGAGUGGUGCAUUGCAGGUACCCUUGGAAUAAGCAUCGGCUAACUCCGUGCCAGCAGCCGCGGUAAUACGGAGGAUGCGAGCGUUAUCCGGAUUUAUUGGGUUUAAAGGGUGCGUAGGUGGCUUUUUAAGUCAGCGGUGAAAACUGGCGGCUCAACCGCAAGAGUGCCGUUGAAACUGGGGAGCUAGAGUAUGAACGAGGUAGGCGGAAUGUGUGGUGUAGCGGUGAAAUGCAUAGAUAUCACGCAGAACUCCGAUAGCGAAGGCAGCUUACCAGGCCAUAACAGACACUGAAGCACGAAAGCGUGGGGAUCGAAC